rnacentral:piRNA from 1 species
UAAAUCUUUAAAAAAAAAAAGACACGGGG